rnacentral:rRNA from 1 species
GUGUUUAGUAUUCUCCUCUUUCAGGACGAACGCUGGCGGCGUGCCUAAUACAUGCAAGUCGAGCGCAGGAAAUCGACGGAACCCUUCGGGGGGAAGUCGACGGAAUGAGCGGCGGACGGGUGAGUAACACGUAAAGAACCUGCCCUCAGGUCUGGGAUAACCACGAGAAAUCGGGGCUAAUACCGGAUGGGUCAUCGGACCGCAUGGUCCGAGGAUGAAAGGCGCUUCGGCGUCGCCUGGGGAUGGCUUUGCGGUGCAUUAGCUAGUUGGUGGGGUAAUGGCCCACCAAGGCGACGAUGCAUAGCCGACCUGAGAGGGUGAUCGGCCACACUGGGACUGAGACACGGCCCAGACUCCUACGGGAGGCAGCAGUAGGGAAUCUUCCACAAUGGACGAAAGUCUGAUGGAGCAACGCCGCGUGAACGAUGAAGGCCUUCGGGUCGUAAAGUUCUGUUGUAAGGGAAGAACAAGUGCCGCAGGCAAUGGCGGCACCUUGACGGUACCUUGCGAGAAAGCCACGGCUAACUACGUGCCAGCAGCCGCGGUAAUACGUAGGUGGCAAGCGUUGUCCGGAAUUAUUGGGCGUAAAGCGCGCGCAGGCGGCCUCUUAAGUCUGAUGUGAAAGCCCCCGGCUCAACCGGGGAGGGCCAUUGGAAACUGGGAGGCUUGAGUAUAGGAGAGAAGAGUGGAAUUCCACGUGUAGCGGUGAAAUGCGUAGAGAUGUGGAGGAACACCAGUGGCGAAGGCGACUCUUUGGCCUAUAA